UGGAACCCCCCCACUUUGGGGUCGGACCCACCCCAAUGAGGUCAGCCCCCCCACACACAUUGGGGACCCCCCCCAAAAUUGGGAACCCCUCCCAUUAGGGACAUUAGGGAAUGGGGGGGCUGGGACCCCCCCCCAAAACUGGCUCUGGGAUGGGGGGGGCCCUGAUUUGGGGGGGUCUGUGUGCAAAGUCCUUCCUCCCCAUUACCAGCGAUUUGGGGGGGGGGGCAAGUUUUUUCGGGGGGGGCAAAGCUGCCCGGUAGCCCCCAGGGGUCUGUGGUAGCCCCAGGAGCCAGAGGAGUCCCUGGGGGGGGGUCCCAGUAGCCGGGGGGGGUCCCCGCUGUCCCUGGGGCUCCCUGGUAGCCACAGAGGCCUCCCCACUAGCCACAAGGGCAUCUCCGGUAACCACGGGAGGUCCCCAGUGGCCACGGGGGCUCCCUGGUAGACGUGGGGUCCCCAGUGGCUUCCCGGUGGCCACGGGAGCUUCCCAGUAGCCACUCGAGGUCCCUGGUAGCCGUGGGGUCCCCUAGACGGGUCCCCGGUAGCCACGGGAGGUCCCCGGUGGCCAUGGGAGAUCCUUGGUGGCCACGGGAGGUGCUUGGUGGCCACAGAUGGGCCCCCGGUAGCCACAGGAGGUCUUGGCGGUUCGUGGGGGGGUCCCUGGUAGCCGUGGGAGAUCCUUGGUGGCCACAGGAGGUCCCCGGAAGCCACUGGAGGUCCCCGAGGUCUGCAGGGGGUCCUUGGUAGCCACGGAUGGCUCCUCGGUGGCCACAGGAGGUCCCCGGUAGCCAUGGGAGGUCCUUGGUGGCUGCAGGAGUCGCCCGGUGGCCACAGAUAAGUCCUUGGUGGCCACAGGAGGUCCCUGGUGGCCUCGGGAGGUCCCCGGUAGCCAUGGGAGAUCCUGGGUGGCCGCAGGAGGUGCCCAGUAGCCAAAGAUGGGUCCUUGGUGGCCACAGGAGGUCCCUGGUAGCCUCAGGAAGUCCCCAGUAGCCAGGGGAGGUCCUGGGUGGCCACAGGAGGUCCCUGGUAGCCAAGGGAGGUCCUUGGUGGCCACAGGAGGUGCUCAAUGGCCACGGAUGGGUCCUCGGUGGCCACAGGAGGUCCUUGGUGGCCACGGGAAGUGCCUGGUGGCCACAGGAGGUCCCCAAUAGCCACGGGAGGUCCUGGGUGGCCACAGGAGGUGCUCGACGGCCACGGACGGGUCCUCGGUGGCCACAGGAGGUCCCCGGUGGCCUCAGGGAGGCGGCCGGUCACUCGACGCGGACCAGCAGGCCGCAGAGGACGGUGGCGCCGGGCUCCUUGGUGACCCACUCGAGCUCGGCGGGGCUCAGGCGGGGGUCGAGGCCCUCGGGGGGCCGCAGCGAGGGCGGCCCCGGGCGGAAGGAGCCCGGCCGCACGCACACCUCGAAGGCCACCUGCGCCCCGUGGGGCCGCUGCGACCGCGGGUCCCGGAAGCUGCGGGGGAGGGGGGGAGGGUUGGCCACGCCCCCUGGCAGGCCACGCCCACCUCUGGCCACGCCCAUGCUGGCCAUGCCCCCUCUGAUCUGGGCCCCCCCCCCCAGCUUCCAAGCCUGGCUGCCUCCAGGAGAAAGUGCUCUGUGUGUGGCUGGCCCCGCCC
rnacentral:lncRNA from 1 species